GAUGAAGAACGUAGCGAAAUGCGAUACUUGGUGUGAAUUGCAGAAUCCCGUGAACCAUCGAGUCUUUGAACGCAAGUUGCGCCCGAAGCCAUUAGGCCGAGGGCACGCCUGCCUGGGCGUCACACGUCGUUGCCCCCCCAUCUACUCCUUCGGGAUUGCGGGGGGCGGAUGAUGGCCUCCCGUGCGCCUCGUCGCGCGGUUGGCAUAAAUGCCAAGUCCUCGGCGACGCACGCCACGACAAUCGGUGGUUGCGAAACCUCGGUUGCCCGUCGUGUGCGGUCGUCGCGCAUCGAGGGCUCGAAAAAAUUGCGGGGCUCUGUUUCGGCUUUCAACGCGACCCCAGGUCAGGCGGGGUUACCCGCUGAAUUUAAGCAUAUCAAUAAGCGGAGGA
rnacentral:misc_RNA from 1 species